AAGGGUAUAGCUCAGUGGUAGAGUGCAUGCUUAGUAUGCACAAGGUCCUGGGUUCAAGACCCAGAACCAUCA
rnacentral:tRNA from 1 species